GAUGAAGAACGUAGCGAAAUGCGAUACUUGGUGUGAAUUGCAGAAUCCCGUGAACCAUCGAGUCUUUGAACGCAAGUUGCGCCCGAAGCCACUAGGCCGAGGGCACGCCUGCCUGGGCGUCACACGUCGUUGCCCCCCCAUCUACUCCUUCGGGAUUGCGGGGGGGCGGAUGAUGGCCUCCCGUGCGCCUAGCCGCGCGGUUGGCAUAAAUACCAAGUCCUCGGCGACGCACGCCACGACAAUCGGUGGUUGCGAAACCUCGGUUGCCCGUCGUGUGCGUUCGUCGCGCAUCGAGGGCUCGAAAAAAUGCUCGGCUUCGGCUCAGCUUUCAACGCGACCCCAUGUCAGGCGGGGUUACCCGCUGAAUUUAAGCAUAUCAAUAAGCGGAGGA
rnacentral:misc_RNA from 1 species